rnacentral:rRNA from 1 species
UUUGGAGGGGCAAGUCUGGUGCCAGCAGCCGCGGUAAUUCCAGCUCCAAUAGCGUAUAUUAAAGUUGUUGCAGUUAAAAAGCUCGUAGUUGAACCUUGGGCCUGGCUGGCCGGUCCGCCUCACCGUGUGCACUGGUUCGGCCGGGCCUUUCCCUCUGGGGAACCCCAUGCCCUUCGCUGGGUGUGGCGGGGAACCAGGACUUUUACUGUGAAAAAAUUAGAGUGUUCAAAGCAGGCCUAUGCUCGAAUACAUCAGCAUGGAAUAAUAGAAUAGGACGUGCGGUUCUAUUUUGUUGGUUUCUAGGACCGCCGUAAUGAUUAAUAGGGACAGUCGGGGGCAUCAGUAUUCAAUUGUCAGAGGUGAAAUUCUUGGAUUUAUUGAAGACUAACUACUGCGAAAGCAUUUGCCAAGGAUGUUUUCAUUAAUCAGGAACGAAAGUUAGGGGAUCGAAGACGAUCAGAUACCGUCGUAGUCUUAACCAUAAACUAUGC